CCAAUUUAUAUAUAGCAUGAGCUAAUUUUCUAUCUUCUGUUUCACUGACAGUGACAUCCUGUUCCUAACAGGUGGCAGUUACAUUCAGCUUCUCUGCAGUUAUAGAACCAUGAUUUUAGGGCAUGUCCAGCCCUUCUAAUCUAUUUAUUCAAAGAGGAGAAGACUCAUCCCAGGGGGCUGUCAGAGCAGGGCAAGGAGACAUGGUACGUGAAUGGAGCAGGUGGAAGAAGAUAAAAGUUGUUCCAAUCAAGUCAUUGGAGACACCAGUUGGAUCAGAGCAGUGACUAUCUGAGAUACUGAUUCCAAAAAAGGAAGGGCACAGGUUUGGGUCUUUACAGACGAGCACAGCGGUUUAAAAAGAAAGUGUACGCUUCCUGAUGCAUUGGUCAACUCCACUUCCGUUCCUUGUGCAAACUCCUCAGCAUUUUCUGACAGCAACCAUCUUCUAUGGAUGGGUAUCUCCCUUUGGAUCUGGAAACAAUGAGAGGACCUGUGAA
rnacentral:lncRNA from 13 species